CUGAGUGGUUGUAUCAACGAGGGUGCUCACACUCUGCACCCAGAGGUUUGCAAUAAGUCUGGGUCCCACACAGAGCAGCAUGUGGUGGCUCUGGACUUCCUCGUGGAAGAGUUAUUUUUCAGAGAUCUGAGAAAUCUUAAUCUGAGGGGCAGAGGGAACCUCAAAUGCCUAGCCACAGCCUUGUUAACAACUGGUCAUCUCUGGACAUUGUUCUGGAUAUAUCUCACUGAAGAGCUAAGGUGAUAAAGUUCUUGGUUUAAUAGAAUUGUAAAUAAAACAUUACUAGCUCCUGUAGAACAUUGUCCUCGGAUUCAUCCUAUGCUCUUGCAAACCAAGACAUCCAGUGCUGAUCAGGAAUUUAAGAAAUUAUAAUAUCGAGAGGAAUUGUUUUCACAUAAUGGUCACACACAGAAAUGACAUCAAGAGCCAAAAUUUGUCAAAAUUAGUUUGGUCUGGUGAAUUGUGGAUUAGCAAGCAGAGCAACUGGAGAGGCACACACACCACCUUCUGUGGUGGUGAGAAGGGAGGAAUCCUGGACCCUCUUGCCAAAUAGCGCUUCCACGGACUUCAGAUAAUCAGAGGCAACUCUCACAGGGUUGUCCAAGGAACAAAGGAAAAAAAAUACUUAUUUUCUAAACAUAAUAAAACUCACUAUAACUUGUAAUUUGCUACAUGGCACCGUUGGCAAUUUAAAAAAAUCCAG